GCGGGGAUGCCGGAGCGGUCAAACGGGGUAGCCUCAAGAGCUACUAGCUUAGUGCUUACGGAGGUUCGAAUCCUCCUUCCCGCA
rnacentral:tRNA from 1 species